UACGAAGGGGGCUAGCGUUGCUCGGAAUCACUGGGCGUAAAGGGUGCGUAGGCGGGGUUUUAAGUCAGGGGUGAAAUCCUGGAGCUCAACUCCAGAACUGCCUUUGAUACUGAAGAUCUUGAGUUCGGGAGAGGUGAGUGGAACUGCGAGUGUAGAGGUGAAAUUCGUAGAUAUUCGCAAGAACACCAGUGGCGAAGGCGGCUCACUGGACUGGUAUUGACGCUGAGGUGCGAAAGCGUGGGGAGCAAACAGG
rnacentral:rRNA from 1 species